rnacentral:rRNA from 1 species
GAUGAACGCUAGCUACAGGCUUAACACAUGCAAGUCGAGGGGAAACGAUAGAGAAAGCUUGCUUUUUCUAGGCGUCGACCGGCGCACGGGUGAGUAACGCGUAUCCAACCUGCCCAUCACUUGGGGAUAACCUUGCGAAAGUAAGACUAAUACCCAAUGAUAUCUCUAGAAGACAUCUGAAGGAGAUUAAAGAUUUAUCGGUGAUGGAUGGGGAUGCGUCUGAUUAGCUUGUUGGCGGGGUAACGGCCCACCAAGGCGACGAUCAGUAGGGGUUCUGAGAGGAAGGUCCCCCACAUUGGAACUGAGACACGGUCCAAACUCCUACGGGAGGCAGCAGUGAGGAAUAUUGGUCAAUGGGCGAGAGCCUGAACCAGCCAAGUAGCGUGCAGGAUGACGGCCCUAUGGGUUGUAAACUGCUUUUAUAAGGGAAUAAAGUGAGUCUCGUGAGGCUUUUUGCAUGUACCUUAUGGAUAAGGACCGGCUAAUUCCGUGCCAGCAGCCGCCACGG